GAUGAACGCUGGCGGCGUGCUUAACACAUGCAAGUCGAACGGAAAGGCCGAAGCUUGCUUCGGUACUCGAGUGGCGAACGGGUGAGUAACACGUGGGUGAUCUGCCCUGUACUUCGGGAUAAGCUUGGGAAACUGGGUCUAAUACCGGAUAUGACGAUCUCUUGGAUGGGGUUGUGGAAAGCUUUUGCGGUAUGGGAUGAGCUCGCGGCCUAUCAGCUUGUUGGUGGGGUAAUGGCCUACCAAGGCGUCGACGGGUAGCCGGCCUGAGAGGGUGUACGGCCACAUUGGGACUGAGAUACGGACCAGACUCCUACGGGAGGCAGCAGUGGGGAAUAUUGCACAAUGGGCGCAAGCCUGAUGCAGCGACGCCGCGUGGGGGAUGACGGCCUUCGGGUUGUAAACUCCUUUCGCAAUCGACGAAGCCUUUUGGUGACGGUAGGUUGAGAAGAAGCACCGGCUAACUACGUG
rnacentral:rRNA from 1 species